CGAUCAGUAGCCGACCUGAGAGGGUGAUCGGCCACAUUGGAACUGAGACACGGUCCAAACUCCUACGGGAGGCAGCAGUGGGGAAUAUUGCACAAUGGGCGAAAGCCUGAUGCAGCAACGCCGCGUGCGUGAUGAAGGCCUUCGGGUCGUAAAACUCUGUCCUCAAGGAAGAUAAUGACGGUACUUGAGGAGGAAGCCCCGGCUAACUACGUGCCAGCAGCCGCGGUAAUACGGAGGGGGCUAGCGUUAUCCGGAUUUACUGGGCGUAAAGGGUGCGUAGGCGGUCUUUCAAGUCAGGAGUGAAAGGCUACGGCUCAACCGUAGUAAGCUCUUGAAACUGGGAGACUUGAGUGCAGGAGAGGAGAGUGGAAUUCCUAGUGUA
rnacentral:rRNA from 1 species